rnacentral:misc_RNA from 1 species
AAGUCGUAACAAGGUCUCCGUAGGUGAACCUGCGGAGGGAUCAUUACUGAGUUCUGGGCCUGAUGGCCCGAUCUCCAACCCAUUUGUUUUUUAACCGUCUCUGUUGCCUCGGGGGCGACCCGGCCUUCGGGCGUCGGGGCCCCCGGUGGACCACUCAAUUACACUCUGCGUCUCUGCGUCUGAGUCACGAUCAAAAUCAAUCAAAACUUUCAACAACGGAUCUCUUGGUUCUG